AGAGUUUGAUCCUGGCUCAGAAUGAACGCUGGCGGCGUGCUUCAACACAUGCAAGUCGAGCGAGAAAGUGACUUUGGUCACGAGUAAAGCGGCGAACGGGUGAGUAACGCGUGGACAACCUGCCUGGUAGCGGGGGAUAACUCGGGGAAACCUGGGCUAAUACCGCAUGAGCUUGCUGAACUUCGGUUCAGCUCGGAAAGGUGGCCUCUUCUUGAAAGCCAUCACUACCAGAGGGGUCUGCGCCUGAUUAGCUUGUUGGUGAGGUAAUGGCUCACCAAGGCGACGAUCAGUAGCCGGCCUGAGAGGGUGAUCGGCCACACUGGAACUGAGACACGGUCCAGACUCCUACGGGAGGCAGCAGUGGGGAAUAUUGCGCAAUGGGGGAAACCCUGACGCAGCAACGCCGCGUGGAGGAUGAAGGCCUUCGGGUCGUAAACUCCUGUCAGGUGGGAAGAAAAAGCACGGGCGAAAUACCUGUGCCCUUGACGGUACCACCAGAGGAAGCCCCGGCUAACUCCGUGCCAGCAGCCGCGGUAAUACGGAGGGGGCAAGCGUUAUUCGGAAUUAUUGGGCGUAAAGGGCGCGCAGGCGGCUUGGCAAGUCAAAGGUGAAAUCCCUCGGCCCCACCGAGGAAUUGCCUUUGAAACUGCCAGACUAAAGGCCGGGAGAGGGUAGUGGAAUUCCCAGUGUAGCGGUGAA
rnacentral:rRNA from 1 species